UGGGGAAUAUUGGACAAUGGGGGAAACCCUGAUCCAGCGACGCCGCGUGGGUGAUGAAGGCUUUCGGGUCGUAAAGCCCUGUCAGGAGGAAAGAAUGCUCCUAUGAUAAAUACUCAUAGGAAGUGACGGUACCUCCAAAGGAAGCACCGGCCAACUCCGUGCCAGCAGCCGCGGUAAGACGGAGGGUGCAAGCGUUGCUCGGAAUUACUGGGCGUAAAGGGUGCGUAGGCGGCCUUUCAAGUCCGGCGUGAAAGCCCAGGGCUCAGCCUUGGAAGUGCGCUAGAAACUGAAUGGCUAGAGUAUCGGAUGGGAGAGUGGAAUUCCUGGUGUAGCGGUGAAAUGCGUAGAUAUCAGGAGGAAUACCGGUGGCGAAAGCGGCUCACUGGACCGUUACUGACGCUGAGGUGCGAAAGCUAGGGGAGCAAACGGGAUUAGAUACCCCCGUAGUCCCUGAGCGGGCUGGCAAGGCGCAU
rnacentral:rRNA from 1 species